rnacentral:rRNA from 1 species
UACGUAGGUGGCAAGCGUUGUCCGGAAUUAUUGGGCGUAAAGCGCGCGCAGGUGGUUCUUUAAGUCUGAUGUGAAAGCCCACGGCUCAACCGUGGAGGGUCAUGGAAACUGGGGAACUUGAGUGCAGAAGAGGAAAGUGGAAUUCCAAGUGUAGCGGUGAAAAUGCGUAGAGAUUUGGGAGGAACACCAGUGGCGAAAGGCGACUUUC